UACGUAGGUGGCAAGCGUUGUUCGGAAUUACUGGGCGUAAAGCGCGCGUAGGCGGCUCUUCAAGUCAGACGUGAAAGCCCCGGGCUUAACUCGGGAACUGCGUUUGAUACUGUCGAGCUAGAGUGUGGAAGGGGCGAUUGGAAUUCCGUGUGUAGCGGUGAAAUGCGUAGAUAUACGGAGGAACACCAGAGGCGAAGGCGGAUCGCUGGGCCAACACUGACGCUGAUGUGCGAAAGCGUGGGGAGCAAACAGG
rnacentral:rRNA from 1 species